rnacentral:rRNA from 1 species
UGGCGGCAAUAGCGCGGUGGUCCCACCUGACCCCAUGCCGAACUCAGAAGUGAAACGCCGUAGCGCCGAUGGUAGUGUGGGGUCUCCCCAUGCGAGAGUAGGACACUGCCAGGCAU